UGAUGCCAUAAUAUGGUGGUCCCCAUCUUAAUGUUGGCAGGACUUAGGGCAAGUUCUCAAUCCUCUGAGCCUCAUGUUCUUAUCUGUGCAUGCCUGCCUUACAGGUUGUUUUAGCAAUUAACUGAGGUAAUACAAGUCAAAAUAUUUGGUACAGUCCUAAGCCUAAUAGGUAGCAGAUAUCCUCUGGGGUGGCUAAUAUCCUCUGGGGUAGCGGAUAUCCUCUGGAGUGGCUGUUCCAUAAUCCUUUCCCCCUUUCCUGUGUUCACACCCUUGUACAAUCCCCUCCCAUUAAGAGCAGGCUGGACCUGUGACUUUCUUCUAACCAAUAGAAUAUGACAAAGGAGAUGGGCUGUCACUUCUGUGAUUAUGUAAUGAUAAAUAAUUACAUAUUGAUAGCCAGUUUGCUCUAGGGAUUCUCCUUGCUGCUUGAUGAAGUAAGUGGUCAAGUUUGAGAAACCCAUGUGGCAAGGAAUGGCAAGGAACUGUGGGAAAUGUCUAGCAGCUGAGGCUGGCCUCAGACCAUCAGUCAUCCAGAAACAGAAGUUCUCAGUCCGCCAACCACAAGGAACUUAAUGCUGCAGAAGCCACACAAGUGGGGAAGUGAAUCCUUCCCCAGGCAAGCCAUCAGAUGAGAACUUGGCCCUGGCUGACCAAGACCUCAAGCAAUGCAUGCAGCUAAGCUGUUACCAGACUUCUGACCCUACAGAAACUGUAUAAAUUCUUCAGAGACUAUCAAGUGCCAACAAAGGGAUUACCCCCCUGCUCCUCUGAAGGAGUGCAAGAAAGAAGACACCAAACCCAUGGCAUUUUUUCCCUUUGGAAAGAGGGGAGAUAAUGAGAAGCCUACACUUGGUAUUCCUUGGAGCAGCUUUCCCAGGUGAUACUGAUGCUCCUGGUCCCGGGACCACAGACACGUUCUCCUUCUUGUAGCCGCUCAUUCACUCUGUAUAGAAGGCAUGGCUCAUCUGACUGCAAACUGACAUGCUGAAAGCUGUCCUAUGGAGAGGCUAAUGUGGCCAGGAAUGGAGGGUGGCUUCUGGCCAACACCCAGUGAGGAACUCAGAUCCUCAUUCAAACAGCCUGCAAGGAACUGAACCCUGCCAAUAACUCAGAUCGAGAUGGAGUCUCACUCUGUUGCCUGUACAGCAGUAUAGUGGCAUGAUCUCAGCUCACUACAGCCUCCACCUCCUGGGUUCAAGCGAUUAUGCUGCCUCAGCCUCAUAGGUAGCUGGAACUACAGGCAUAUGCCACCACACCUGGCUAAUUUUUGUAUUUUUAGUAGAUAUAGGGUUUCAUCAUGUUGGCCAGGCUGGGCUUAAACUCCUGACCUCAACUGAUCCUCCUGCUUUGGCUUCCCAAAGUGUUGGGAUUAUGGGCAUGAGCCACCAUACUGGCCCCUUCCUGUUCUUAUAAAGUCACUAGUUCCACUCCUGUGAUAACCCAUUAAUCUAUGGAUGGGUUAAUCCAUUCAUGAAGACAGGGUUCUCAUGAUCCAAUCACCUCUUUAAGUCCCCACCUUUUAACACUACCACACUGGGGAUUAAUUUUGCCAGACACGACAUUUGGAAGACCCAUGCAAACCAUAUCAUGGAGGAGGGGCAUCCUUGUUAGGUAGGGGUAGAAAGCUUAGUGCCACUGUUGUCUGCAGUUACAUGGAAAGCAAAAUAUGUGCCUAAUAAACCUAAUUAUCUAGCUAUGGAGAUGUCCAAGAAAAGUGUUAAAAUAAUUACUUCUUACUGCUUAUGUGAGAAGAGAGAGAGAAAAAAAGUGAAAGUGAGCCAGGACCUGAUAGUUUCAAAAAUUCUCAGUCUCCCAAGUCAGCAAAAGGUGCUAAAAUUAAGAAAUGAUUUUUGAGCAAGUACUGUCAAGAAAAGAUGGUCUGAGAUAAAGCUGAGGGUGUGACUGUGGAGCCUUUGGUUAAGACCUCGGAAAUAUCAAAAGAUCAUGGUAUUAUUCAGUCAUACAAAGGCCCUUUAAGGAGAUUAGAGUAGGCCUCAUAGAUCCUCCAGAUCAAACAAUAGGGACUCUAGGAAGCAGCAUAAGGGCUGUCCCUUGGCCAUCUUUUCAAGAGGCUCAGGUUGAAAAGUGUUUGGUUCUCAAAGACAUUUGUGGGUUUGGCUUUUGAGUAAUAGAAGGAAUCUCAGUGCAAUUUACAGAAGAGCCAAAAAGGUUUUGAGAAAACUUAUCAGAAGAAACACAGCUGGGACAGAAAGAAACAGAGAUAGUAUAAAAUAAAAUGAGGUCAUUGAACCCCUAAAAUUCUCAGCAGGAAACAGGCGAAGAAAACAAAUCAGCUUUAAACACAGGCUUCCUUUCAUGAAAAAGGAAGGAUUACUCAGAGGGAAGAACCAAGAGCUUAGAAGGUAGAGCGAAGAGUCAUGGAGAAUUAUCCCCAGGCUUUGAAACCUAACCAAGAAACUUGCAGUCUUUUCCUAGCUGGAUUUCAAAAUUGUUGUGGACCAGUGAUGUCUUGAUACCUCACAUUUUCCCCUCCCUGACUAGCAAUGUUAUAGCCAUUACUCUAGGCCUAACCUGCCAUUGUAUGGCCCAACCUACAUGUUGGGGCAGAUAAUUUACCUCUUUAGUUUUUAAAUCACCAAAUCCAUAGUAACAGUAUUCUGGAACUUGUACUUAAGGAAUUAUACCCAAGGGCCUCAUCCACACCUGCACCUAAUUUAGAUGAUGAGAUCCUGGACUUUCAGUUGGUGCUUUCAUGGGAAGAGAUGUUUAGAGACUUUGGGAGGGAAUGAUUUUAUUUCGUGUGUGGAAGGGACAGGAAUCAUUGGCCAGAGGGCAGAUUUUGAUAAGAAGCUUCAAAAAAUACUCUAAAUGUUCUUUCUCUUCUGGUAUUCAUGCCCUUGUGCAAUCCCCUCCCUUUGUGUGUGGGCUGGACCUAGUGAUUUGCUUCUAA